rnacentral:rRNA from 1 species
GCGGAGGGAUCAUUACUGAGUUUACGCUCUACAACCCUUUGUGAACAUACCUAUAACUGUUGCUUCGGCGGGUAGGGUCUCCGCGACCCUCCCGGCCUCCCGCCUCCGGGCGGGUCGGCGCCCGCCGGAGGAUAACCAAACUCUGAUUUAACGACGUUUCUUCUGAGUGGUACAAGCAAAUAAUCAAAACUUUUAACAACGGAUCUCUUGGUUCUGGCAUCGAUGAAGAACGCAGCGAAAUGCGAUAAGUAAUGUGAAUUGCAGAAUUCAGUGAAUCAUCGAAUCUUUGAACGCACAUUGCGCCCGCCAGCAUUCUGGCGGGCAUGCCUGUUCGAGCGUCAUUUCAACCCUCAAGCUCUGCUUGGUGUUGGGGCCCUACAGCUGAUGUAGGCCCUCAAAGGUAGUGGCGGACCCUCCCGGAGCCUCCUUUGCGUAGUAACUUUACGUCUCGCACUGGGAUCCGGAGGGACUCUUGCCGUAAAACCCCCAAUUUUCCAAAGGUUGACCUCG